rnacentral:lncRNA from 1 species
UGGCCAACUUGUUCAUAUGUUACUAACUUAUACCUUUAACUUGGACUUUGACUGAACAACAUAUGAAAAGCUUCUUGAAUAACUUACACUCGGCAUGGUAAUUCUGUUAUCAUCAGUUAGUUUGCUCCGAUGUGAACUACUACUUCCUGCAUAAGAAAAAAAUGAUACAUAAAAGUUGAAAUUUACUAAAAAAUAAUAUACACUCUCAUGAAGAUCAAAGCCUCCACUGAAAUCAAUUUAUACACAUAUGCACGCUAAAAUAUCCAUAACAAAUAGAAUUUAAAAAAAUAUAGUAAGCCAAUGGACUCAUGCGAACCCACUCGACAGAAUAUUAGGAAUAUGUAUUCAUGGCUGAAUUUUCUUUUUAUACAUAUCUAGUAGACGUCAAACCUCCUCCUGCUAGUUCAUGUAUAAUGUUACUAAGAUUUUAAACUCAUUUAGUGAUGAUCGUGGCUCCCCCAAUUACGGUCACCUGCAAAUUGAGAGAUUAUAUUACUCCGAAUUGAAACAAAUCUGUUCACAGUAAUACCGUAUUAUAAUGUAAAGAAUACAUAAUUAAGAAGUAACACAAUACAAAAAUUCUUCAAGCCAUAUGUUGCUAACAUGUGUAGGCACCCUGAAUUCAACCUUCCAUGAAUGUUCCACCAAACUUAAAAAUAUCCACAGGCAUCAAAUAGAGAAUAUACAACAUACAAUGAUAAGUGAGAAAACUGUAGAUCAUUGUUUAAGCAAUAUGGACAUGCAUCACACUUAUCCGAUUCUUACUUUUCCCAUAUAUUAAUAACUAAUCUAAUUUCAAUUUUAGGAUGCCAAUACACAUUUGUAAUGUAAGUACUUACCUUUUCCAAACAAAUAUCUUUAAUGGCCUCUAUCAUGGCAAAGACUGACUGCAUAUUUAAUGGCCACUAUCAUGGCAAAGACCGAUUGCAUACUGCAAAUGUGUCACAACUUUGCCAUCCUCCGCUUGUUUUGAAAAGGAAAACAGAAGGCAACACCUCUUUUGGAUUGCCACACAUUAUUCAAACGCCCCUUCCUUUCAGUUGAACAUCAGCAACACACAUCGAACCAAGUGGUAAUAGAAGCUCAUAUACGUUAUUUUUUAAAAAAUAACGUUAAUAGAGAGAAAUUGCCACUUUUAUCUGUAAAAAUAAAAAGACAACAAUUUUUACUAGCAAGGUGACGAAAGCGGAAACGAGUAGGAUAUCUGCUUAUCUUGGUUAGGUUGAUCCAUGAGAGAUCUGGUAGGGCUUUAGGGCAAUUCAGGUGUCUUAUUCGGAUUGAAUGUAUACUAUCCCCCUAUCGGACUAAGGGUUUUUAUCGAAUAUGAAACUCGACUUGAACAACGCGUCCCCAGAAAAGCUUUUUUUUGAGGAUCCGACAACUUAUGCAGGAACUUCCGUAUACUAUCCCCCUAUCGGACUAAUGGUUUUUAUCGAAUAUGAAACACUUGAACAACGCGUCCCCAGAAAAGCUUUUUUUUGAGGAUCCGACAACUUAUGCAGGAACUUCCGACGUCUUUCCCUUUGUAUAGUAUACGGCUAAGUGACUUCAUAACCUCAACCUACUUUUUUGCUUACUGUAGCAUAGGCCUUCGUCGGGCUUUCGUCACUUCGCCUAUAGACGGCGGCAAGAACUAUUAAACAUGUCCAUUACCAAGAAAUAAUAAUCACUAAAUCACCCGUCCAUCACAUUCCAAACGAAAUAAAAAAUAUAAAGUUCAAAUUGCCAAGAGAAUUACCCUGAUUUCAGGUAUCAACAAUAAUGACUCCUUCACGACGCACCUCUUAAUUAACAAUUAGUCCUAUUGCUUUGCAUCUUCUCAUUUUCAAAUUUCUUAUGCACUAAUUUUUUUUUACAACAGAGUUUAAAUUUGACAGUUCUCAAACAAUAUCGAGCAGAAUAUAUAGAAAAUUGUAGCAUUAGUGAGGUCCAAAUCGCAACAUUCAUAUAUAUUACCUUUGUUGGCAAUAUUAAAUGCUAGAGGUAUUAUCAAGUGAGAAAACAUUUCAAACAUGUGAUUAGAUUUACGCCAGACUUGUGAUUUGUAACUGAAAUUCAAGUUAAUCAUUUAAUGUUGUCACAUUCUCAGAUGAUCAAACAAAGUACAAUAAUUCAAGUUAAAAGUUCAAGUACAUAAAACUGCACUGCAGAAAUCAAACAACCCAUAAACCUUCGAUGAAGAACUUAUAUAAUUUUAUGCAAUCAUGCCAUAAUUGAUUACUUGCGUACCCGAAAAAACCUAGAAACACCCUCCACAGUAGCAAAAAAAAGAUAAAUUAGAAGAGGAAUACUGAAUUUUUUUUAUCUAGGUAGAAGGGAUGUGAAAAUAUGGACAAAUAUAGCACAAUUGAAAAGUGAUUAUACAACAAUAGAGAUCACAGACCGGAAAUUGUGAACUUACCCAACCUUGUGAUGUCAACGUUUUCGUAGAUGUACUGGAUCUUGAUGAUAUCUAGAAAGGAACCUCGAUUUUCAUACUCAAAAUCUUAUGUAAAUCAAUAUAUACUCAUCAACAACCCCUAAACGAAGCGAGAGAGUUUUUGUAAGCCUGUGAAAAAUAUGUUCCGAAAAGGGUAUUUUCAGCAAUUUGAAUCGUUUACCAAAAUAUAUAAGUAACAUGCUUCUUGAUUUCCAGAAGUUCAACUAAAAAAACGAAAUUGAGACAUCGUGAAGAUUCGGAAAAAAUUUGCGGACUGGAUUCCAAAGACAUAAAAAAUAGCAUAGAAAAAGACCAAUUAAACUCAUUUAGAAGAAAAAUUACAUGGAUGAGGAAGUUAUGAUUCUAUAUCUUCAAUUUACUUCUUGAACUGUUCCUUUAAUGGAGGUUUCUUUUGUUAUUAGAUUAUUCAGAUAGGGUUAGUUUUGCAUGGUUAAUUCAAAUUAUUAAUUUUAAUUAAAAGUAAUUAUUUUGGUCUUAAUUACCCAAUUAUGUGGAAUUUUCUAUGCUGCCACAUGGCUUAAGGAGAGGGCUUUUUCCUCUCCUUUUAAUUAUAUAUACAUGUGACUUUUUUUCACAUCCCACCUCACGCCCAAGACUGGACAUUUGGUGUGUGGACAAUUUUUAAUUUGGGGGCUCAACAAUGGGUGGGAUGAGUCCUGCUCUGAUAGCAUGUAAAAUUAGAAAUCUUAGGCCUAACUCAACACUAAAGUUAGCUCAUGAGGAGAUAGCUCAUGAGGGGAGGAUUGCCCAAGUCUAUAUAAGUAGACUGUCAAUCCAUUCCCCAACAUUGGGUGCGAUGAGUCCUGCUUUGCAACGAUUAAUUUCGCUCCUCCUUUCGGUCUCCGAGUGUUGCACUUUUAACCCUUGUUGUUGAUCUCAGAUUUACUCUCCCCGCUACGACUCGAGUUAUUAGAUGAAGGUUGAUAACUUCAAAUCUUUGUUGUUAUUUUCCUUUUCUAAUCGUUACUUCUCUCUCGAGCAAGUCUAGAAUACAGAUGAGUUCUUAAUAUUUACAAGCGUUAGAAAACAAUCAUAAUGAAGAAAAUACCAAUAAAUGCAAGCACACCUAUCUUGAAUUUCCUCAUACUUGACCUGUUUCGUUGAUUCAUCAUGAUUUCCACAACCCUAGUUGUGGUGUUUAGCUACACAUGAUUGCAAGCACACAAGAAAAAUUCAUAGAUGAAAACAUAAGUAUGAUCUUAAUGAAAAGCAUCUUACCACUGAUCAAGUCUACCAAUCGUAGACACCAUCCGCGGAAAUCAAAAUUGUAGUUUUUCUACAGCAUCUUGUUCACGGAUCAAGCCUACCAAUCGUGAACUGGUUCAUGGGUUGUGAACACAAAUCAUGGAAAUCAGGUUUUUGACUUUUUCUUCAGAACUUCAUUCAUGAGCAUGUUGGACGGUUCAUGGAUGAUUCCACAAUUCGUGGGUGUUCUAAACUAUUCUUCACUUGGUCAAUUUUGAGCCUUUUUUCUCAGUUUUGCUUCCGAACCCUAUUCUCCUGCAAAAUAUAACAUCAUACCUACCAAAAACACCUAAGUUCUUGCAUAUUUUCAUCGUCUUUAGCAUCAAAAGUGUCAUGAAAUUAUGACACGUCAGUCUAGCUUUGGGUAUUUAUUUUCUUUUUGCAAUUUUGCAAUUUAAGCUAAUUGGAAGAUCAUAGUUUAGAGUAUCAACAAACUCUGUAUAUCAGUAGACUAUUCGUUGUAGUUGAGCAGCCAAUUGUGCUACCAGUGGGUAAGGUUCUUUUUACCAAAUCAGCGCUGUGUUAAAGAAGUGCAGUAGAGAAGCUAUAUCUGACGUUUCAGCUAUAUCGAUUGUGAAUGAAGU